rnacentral:rRNA from 1 species
UAAUCUGUAUCUAAUAUGCAACAUAAUUAUCUUAGAAUUGAUUUACAGGGGAAGUCGGUGAUCCUAUGCUGCCAAGAAAAUCUUCUAGCGAGGUUCGAGCCGCCCGUACCCCAAACCGACUCAGGUGGUUAGGUAGAGAAUACCAAGGCGAUCGAGUGAAUCGUGGUUAAGGAAUUCGGCAAAAUACCCCCGUAACUUCGGGAGAAGGGGGGCCCAGAGGGUGACGGGGCUUGCUCCCCGAGCCUGAACGGCCGCAGAGACCAGGGAGAAGCGACUGUUUACUAAAACCACAGGUCCGUGCCAAGUCGCAAGACGAUGUAUACGGACUGACGCCUGCCCGGUGCUGGAACGUUAAGGGGACCGGUUAGCCUCACGGCGAAGCUGAGAACUUAAGCGCCAGUAAACGGCGGUGGUAACUAUAACCAUCCUAAGGUAGCGAAAUUCCUUGUCGGGUAAGUUCCGACCUGCACGAAUGGCGUAACGAUUUCUCCACUGUCUCAACCACGAACUCGGCGAAAUUGCACUACGAGUAAAGAUGCUCGUUACGCGCAGAAGGACGGAAAGACCCCGGGACCUUUACUACAGCUUGGUAUUGGUGUUCGGUACGGCUUGUGUAGGAUAGGUGGGAGACUGUGAAGCUGACACGCCAGUGUCGGUGGAGUCAACGUUGAAAUACCACUCUGGUCGUUCUGGAUAUCUAACCUAGGUCCGUGAUCCGGAUCAGGGACAGUGCCUGGUGGGUAGUUUAACUGGGGCGGUUGCCUCCUAAAAGGUAACGGAGGCGCCCAAAGGUUCCCUCAGCCUGGUUGGCAAUCAGGUUUUGAGUGUAAGUGCACAAGGGAGCUUGACUGUGAGACUGACAAGUCGAACAGGGACGAAAGUCGGGACUAGUGAUCCGGCGGUGGCUUGUGGAAGCGCCGUCGCUCAACGGAUAAAAGGUACCCCGGGGAUAACAGGCUGAUCUUGCCCAAGAGUCCAUAUCGACGGCAUGGUUUGGCACCUCGAUGUCGGCUCGUCGCAUCCUGGGGCUGGAGUAGGUCCCAAGGGUUGGGCUGUUCGCCCAUUAAAGCGGUACGCGAGCUGGGUUUAGAACGUCGUGAGACAGUUCGGUCCCUAUCCUCUGCGCGCGCAGGAAACUUGAGAAGGGCUGUCCCUAGUACGAGAGGACCGGGAUGGACGAACCUCUGGUGUGUCAGUUGUUCUGCCAAGAGCACCGCUGAUUAGCUACGUUCGGGAGUGAUAACCGCUGAAAGCAUCUAAGCGGGAAGCAUGCUUCAAGAUUAGGUUUCCAUGGGGUUUACCCCGAGAGGCUCCCAGCUAGACUACUGGGUUGAUAGGCCGGAU